rnacentral:rRNA from 1 species
AUUGAACGCUGGCGGCAGGCCUAACACAUGCCAGUCGAGCGGAUGAAGGGAGCUUGCUCCUGGAUUCAGCGGCGGACGGGUGAGUAAUGCCUAGGAAUCUGCCUGGUAGUGGGGGAUAACGUCCGGAAACGGGCGCUAAUACCGCAUACGUCCUGAGGGAGAAAGUGGGGGAUCUUCGGACCUCACGCUAUCAGAUGAGCCUAGGUCGAAUUAGCUAGUUGGUGGGGUAAAGGCCUACCAAGGCGACGAUCCGUAACUGGUCUGAGUGGAUGAUCAGUCACACUGGAACUGAGACACGGUCCAGACUCCUACGGGAGGCAGCAGUGGGGAAUAUUGGACAAUGGGCGAAAGCCUGAUCCAGCCAUGCCGCGUGUGUGAAGAAGGUCUUCGGAUUGUAAAGCACUUUAAGUUGGGAGGAAGGGCAGUAAGUUAAUACCUUGCUGUUUUGACGUUACCAACAGAAUAAGCACCGGCUAACUUCGUG